GGUGGGGUUCCCGAGCGGCUAAAGGAAGCAGACUGUAAAUCUGCCGUCAUCGACUUCGAAGGUUCGAAUCCUUCCCCCACCACCA
rnacentral:tRNA from 1 species